ACUCGUGUGUGUGUGUGUGUGUGUGUGUGUGUGUGUAUGUAUGUAUGUGUGUAUAUAUAUAUAUAUUUAUAUAUAUAUAUAUAUAUACGCGUACACACACUCACACACACUUACAGACACACACACAUAUAU